AUUGAACGCUGGCGGCAGGCCUAACACAUGCAAGUCGAACGAGUGGCGGACGGGUGAGUAAUGUCUGGGAAACUUCCUGUUGGAGGGGGAUCACUAGUGGAAACGGUCGCUAAUACCGCAUACCAUCGGAUUUGCCCAGGUGGGAUUAGCUAGUAGGUGGGGUAAAGGCUAACCUAGGCGACGAUACCUAGCUGGUCUGAUAGGAUGACCGGCCACACUGGAAUGGAGAAACGGCCCAGACUCUUACGGGAGGCAGCAUUGGGAAAUAUUGGACAAUGGGCGCAAGCCUGAGGCAGCAAGGCCGCGGGGAUGAAAAAGGCCUUGGGGUUGUAAAGUACUUUCAGCGGGGAGGCGUUACCCGAAGAGGAAGCAACGGCUAACUCCGUGCCAGCAGCCGCGGUAAUUC
rnacentral:rRNA from 1 species